AUUGAACGCUGGCGGCAUGCCUUACACAUGCAAGUCGAGCGGCAGCGCGGGGGCAACCCUCGGCGGCGAGCGGCGCACGGGUGAGUAAUACAUCGGAACGUGUCCUUUUGUUGGGGGAGUAACCAGUCGAAAGACUGGCUAAUACCGCAUGAGAUCUCACGAUGAAAGCGGGGACCGCAAGGCCUCGCGCGAUUGGAGCGGCCGAUGCCGGAUUAGCUAGUUGGCGGGGUAAAAGACCCACCAAGGCGACGAUCCGUAGCUGGUUUGAGAGAACGACCAGCCACACUGGGACUGAGACACGGCCCAGACUCCUACGGGA
rnacentral:rRNA from 1 species